rnacentral:rRNA from 1 species
AUGGGACCGCAUCCAGCCACCGUCCCCUGCUCCCUCCGGUGCGGCGCCGCCGCCGCCGCCGUCCGGCGAUCCGGGUGGGCGCGCAGCGCCGGUUUCCUCGUCCGCGACGGCGGCCGUAGCAACGGAACCGGCGUGAAGCUGUCCUGCGUCGGCCCUACUGCCUGGAGCUACCCCCACAACUUCGACUCAGACUCGGAACCCAUGCCGCCUGGCCGUUGGUGGGGGGAGGCGCUGCUCGAAGAAGACGCCGAGUUUUUUCCUCUUGCCGAUUUCAUCCCAGUCGGACAGGGCAGGAAGGAGCUGGAUGCGAUAUGGCACGCCCUCGUCGCCGGCCCCCUCGAGUCCGUCCAGCUGACCCUGCGUGAGAUCCUGGCCGCCGGCAACCUGUUCCGCUGCCGCAGCUUCCACCUCGGCACCCUCUCAGGUGCUUUGCUGGUCGUUGCUGGGGUUUUCCAACUCUGCAAAACGUCACCCACCCUUUUCGUGGACAUUGUUCUUGGAUCUGUGUUCUACAAGCUAAGCGUUUUAUCCGGACAGUUGCAAAGGGAGGGCAAGUCAUUUAGCAUAUGUGCACGGAUACAGCUAGUCCUUCUGCUUAUUUUGUCUUUCAAGGAUAACGGUGCUUCUCAGGGCUUCUACCGCUUUCUUGUGGAAUCAAUCUGGUUGCUCAACAUUUAUGUGUAUCUCAUAAUGGCCUACGACGCGACCGUCGGCGUGAAGCAUGGCAGACUCGAGUGGCUUGGGGUCUAUAGAAUGCUGCGGACGAAGGGUGGCCUGAUGAAGGUGCUGAAGCAUACCUUUCUUGAUAUUUUGGGAGGGAACAAGAAGCCAGUCUCGAUAAAAAGAAGGCACAGAAAGGGCCAGUAA